rnacentral:rRNA from 1 species
CCCUUAGAUGUCCGGGGCCGCACGCGCGCUACACUGAAGGAAUCAGCGUGGCUUUCUCCCUGACCCGAAAGGGUUGGGAAACCCGUUGAAUCUCCUUCGUGAUAGGGAUUGGGGCUUGAAAUUGUUCCCCAUGAACGAGGAAUUCCCAGUAAGCGCGAGUUAUAAGCUCGCGUUGAUUACGUCCCUGCCCUUUGUACACACCGCCCGUCGCUACUACCGAUUGAACGGUUUAGUGAGGGCCUCGGAUUGGUCUCGGCCCGCUCUUUACCGGGCGGCGCCGUUGGUCGAGAAGACGCUCGAACUUGAUCGUUUAGAGGAAGUAAAAGUCGUAACA